UACGGAGGGGGCUAGCGUUGUUCGGAAUUACUGGGCGUAAAGCGCGCGUAGGCGGACCUGCAAGUCGGGGGUGAAAGCCCAGGGCUCAACCCUGGGAUGCCGGUGGAAACUGUCGGGCUAGAGUCCGGAAGAGGCGAGUGGAAUUCCUGGUGUAGCGGUGAAAUGCGCAGAUAUCAGGAGGAACACCAAUGGCGAAGGCAGCUCGCUGGGACGUGACUGACGCUGAGACGCGAAAGCGUGGGGAGCAAACAGG
rnacentral:rRNA from 1 species